GCCAUUUUGGGAACAGCAACACUCUUCUCCUUCUUCUUCUCUUCCCGUCAGUCAAUCUCUUCUUCUCUCCAGUAUCUGCAAUCACCGUCCUCGUCAUCACCACCACCAUCACCGUCCUCGUCAUCACCACCACCAUCACCGUCCUCGUCAGUCACAACCGCCGCCGUCCUCACUGCACCUUCUCUUCGUCCAAUACUAUCAGCAAACAUGCAUUUUCGAAUUAUACCUUCAAAUCGCUCUCUCCUUUCAAUUUCCAUCUUCACCUCACACUCUCCUUCAUCUUCUUCUCCUCUCAGGUGCUUCUGUUCUGUUCAAACACAAAAGAUCAACAAUGAAGUUGAACAACAGCAACAACCCAGGUCAAGAAACAACAGCAAAACAGCAAAAACGAUAGCAAAUCUGAUAAACUACAAACCUUGGUCAGAUGAGCUAUUAUCAUCCUUCACAACAUCACUCUCAAAAACCACUGUUUUUCAAACACUUCGUCAUAUUAAGGUACCAACAAAAGCCUUUUUGUUUUUCAACUGGAUACAUGAAAAGGGUUUCUCUCAUAAUCCUCAAACCUAUUUUAUAAUGUUAGAAAUUCUCGGUCGUGAGAAGAAUCUUAAUAUAGCUAGGAAUUUUCUUUAUUCUAUUGAGAAAAGGUCUAAUGGUGAAGUUAAGCUUGAAGAUAGGUUUUUUAAUAGCUUGAUUAGGAGUUAUGGUGAAGCUGGAUUGUUUAAAGAGUCUGUGAAGCUUUUUGAGAAUAUGAAGUUGAUUGGUGUUUCGCCGGGUGUUGUUACGUUUAAUAGUGUUUUGUUGGUUUUGCUUAAACGAGGUAGGACUAAUAUGGCGAAAGAGGUUUAUGAUGAGAUGCUUAAGACUUAUGGUGUUAAGCCGGAUACGUAUACGUAUAAUAUUUUGAUUCGAGGGUUUUGUAAGAAUUCGAUGGUUGAUGAAGGGUUUUACUUUUUUAAGGAAAUGACGAGUUUUGACUGUGAUCCGGAUGUUGUUACGUAUAACACGCUUGUUGAUGGUUUGUGUAGAGCGGGGAAGAUUAAGGUAGCACAUAAUUUGGUAAAUGGUAUGAGUAAGAAAUGUAAGGAUUUGAGUCCUGAUGUUGUUACUUAUACGACCUUGAUUCGAGGGUAUUGUAGGAAACAAGAAGUCGAUGAGGCUUUGGAUAUUCUUGAAGAGAUGAAUGGUAGAGGGCUUAAGCCGAAUAUAGUUACGUAUAAUACUUUAAUAAAAGGACUUUGUGAGGCACAAAAGUGGGAUAAGAUGAAAGAGAUUUUGGAACAAAUGAAAGGCGAUGGUGGAUCUAUUCCGGAUGCGUGUACCUUCAAUACACUGAUUAAUUCACAUUGUUGUGCAGGAAACCUUGAUGAAGCUUUCAAGGUUUUUGAAAACAUGAAAAAAUUAGAGGUCUCAGCAGAUUCUGCCUCAUACAGUGUUCUGAUACGGACUUUAUGUCAGAAAGGGGACUAUGGUAAGGCAGAGAUGCUUUUUGACGAGUUAUUUGAGAAGGAAAUUUUGUUAAGUAGCUAUGGCCCUAAGCCGCUGGCUGCUUCUUAUAAGUGUAUGUUUCAGUAUUUGUGUGAAAAUGGGAAAACAAAGAAAGCCGAAAGGGUACUUAGACAGCUAAUGAAAAGGGGCACACAAGAUCCCCUAUCAUACCAGAUAGUGAUUUUGGGGCAUUGUAAAGAAGGUUCGUACGAAAACGGAUACGGGCUUUUGGUAUGGAUGCUGAGGAGGGAUUUUCUUCCUGAUAUUGAUAUUUAUGACUACUUGAUCGAUGGUUUUCUUCGGAAGGAUAAGCCUCUCCUUGCAAAAGAGACGCUAGAGAAAAUGCUAAAGAGCUCAUAUAAACCACAAACAUCUACUUGGCAUUCUAUACUCAAUAGACUUUUGGAACAGGGUUGUGUUCAUGAGUCUGCAGGUGUUAUUGUCAUGAUGUUGGAGAGAAAUAUUAGACAAAAUAUAAACUUUUCAACCAAAUGUUUACAGCUACUUUUUGAUCGUGGACUACAAGAUAAAGCAUUCAAAAUUACUGAGUUGAUUUAUAAGAAUGGAUUCUGUGUUAAAAUGGAUGAAGUUGUUCAAUUUCUUUGCAACAAAAGAAGGGCAUUGGAAGCAUGCAAACUGUUGCUUUUUAGUUUGAAAAAUAAUGAGAAUAUCGACAUUGGUUUGUGUAAUAUUGUUAUUCUCGAUCUUUGUAAACUGAACAAGGCUUCAGAAGCCUUUAGUUUAUGUUAUGAAUUGGUAGACAAAGGUUUACAUCAGGACUUGAUAUGCCUAAAUGAUCUGGUAGCUGCUUUAGAGGCAGGGGGUAGAACAGAGGAGGCUGCAUUUAUAUCAAAGAGAGUACCAAGACCCGAGCUUAGACAGAUCUGAACGAAAUAAUAGCUCUAAGAUGUCGAGGACUAAUAAAAUAUUAAGAGGCUAAAGUCGAUGCAGAUUGGGGAAGCUUUUGUUCGUGAGUAAAUGAGCACUAUGCCUAAUAUGCAAUUCAAUAUGGACUCUUCUGUUGCUUCCUGGGACCAUGGCUGAUUAAAUAUUGAUCUAUAUAACUUUAUCAAUAUUGAUGCUGGAUGUUUUGAAAAUGGUGUCACGGCUUGGGGACUAAUAGAAAAGGAUCAUAAGGGUGAUGUUAACUUUGCUGCAACUCAUUCAGAAAAUAUCAGAACAUCCCCUUUAUUGGCUGAAACUCUUGCUCUAAGAUGUUGUCUUGAUUGGAUGAUCUCCUCCAACCAUCCAGGUUUUGUUAUUAUUGAAACAGACUCUGAAUCUACUGUCAAAUGUCUGCAGGGAAAGCUGAAUGUAGCAGAAUUAGAUCUAGUUAUCUCUGAUUGUAUCCAUUUUCUUUUUUUACUACCAAAUGUAAUUGUUGCUUUUAUUAGUAGAACCAAGAACAAAGCUGCUCAUGGCUUGGUUGAAGUUGCUGUUAAUUUAAGCUCUAGAUCUUGGGUGGGUUGUACUCCUGAUCAAAUUGCAGCCAUUGUUUGUAAGAAUUCUCUUUCUUCUAAUUGAAUGAAACUUUCUUCCCGUAAAAAAAAAA